UACAUUGUCUAAGAGUUACCAAAAGGACAGUGCAAUAUAAAUUCACUAUCUGAUAUCGUUGGUUUUCUUGGCUUUGUGCAUGUUAAACCUGGUAUUUUUAUUGAGGCAUUA